rnacentral:rRNA from 1 species
GUUUGAUCCUGGCUCAGAGCGAACGUUAGCGGCAGGCUUAACACAUGCAAGUCGAGCGAGAAAGGGGCUUCGGCUCCGAGUAAAGCGGCGGACGGGUGCGUAACACGUGGAUAAUCUGCCUCGUGGCGGGGGACAACAGUCCGAAAGGACUGCUAAUACCGCAUGUCAGGUCGGAAACUCCGGUUUUCUGAACGAAAAAGAGGGCGCCCGCAAGGGGCUCUCACCACGAGAUGAGUCCGCGUCCCAUCAGCUAGUUGGCGGUGUAAUAGACCACCAAGGCUUAGACGGGUAGCUGGUCUGAGAGGAUGACCAGCCACACUGGGACUGAGACACGGCCCAGACUCCUACGGGAGGCAGCAGUGGGGAAUAUUGGACAAUGGGCGAAAGCCUGAUCCAGCCAUGCCGCGUGAGUGAUGAAGGCCU